rnacentral:rRNA from 1 species
UACGUAGGGGCCGAGCGUUAUCCGGAGUUAUUGGGCGUAAAGCGCGCGCAGGCGGCCUCGCGCGCCCGACGUGAAAGCCCCCGGCUUAACCGGGGAGGGUCGUUGGGGACGGCGGGGCUUGAGGGCGGGAGAGGGUGGUGGAAUUCCCGGUGUAGUGGUGAAAUGCGUAGAUAUCGUAAGGAAGACCAGUGGCGAAGGCGGGUCUCUGGACAGUUCCUGACGCUGAGGCACGAAGGUCAGGGGAGCAAACGGG